rnacentral:rRNA from 1 species
GGUUAAGCGACUAAGCGUACACGGUGGAUGCCCUGGCAGUCAGAGGCGAUGAAGGACGUGCUAAUCUGCGAUAAGCGUCGGUAAGGUGAUAUGAACCGUUAUAACCGGCGAUUUCCGAAUGGGGAAACCCAGUGUGAUUCGUCACACUAUCAUUAACUGAAUCCAUAGGUUAAUGAGGCGAACCGGGGGAACUGAAACAUCUAAGUACCCCGAGGAAAAGAAAUCAACCGAGAUUCCCCCAGUAGCGGCGAGCGAACGGGGAGCAGCCCAGAGCCUGAAUCAGUGUGUGUGUUAGUGGAAGCGUCUGGAAAGGCGUGCGAUACAGGGUGACAGCCCCGUACACAAAAAUGCACAUAUUGUGAGCUCGAUGAGUAGGGCGGGACACGUGGUAUCCUGUCUGAAUAUGGGGGGACCAUCCUCCAAGGCUAAAUACUCCUGACUGACCGAUAGUGAACCAGUACCGUGAGGGAAAGGCGAAAAGAACCCCGGCGAGGGGAGUGAAAAAGAACCUGAAACCGUGUACGUACAAGCAGUGGGAGCACGCUUAGGCGUGUGACUGCGUACCUUUUGUAUAAUGGGUCAGCGACUUAUAUUCUGUAGCAAGGUUAACCGAAUAGGGGAGCCGAAGGGAAACCGAGUCUUAACUGGGCGUUAAGUUGCAGGGUAUAGACCCGAAACCCGGUGAUCUAGCCAUGGGCAGGUUGAAGGUUGGGUAACACUAACUGGAGGACCGAACCGACUAAUGUUGAAAAAUUAGCGGAUGACUUGUGGCUGGGGGUGAAAGGCCAAUCAAACCGGGAGAUAGCUGGUUCUCCCCGAAAGCUAUUUAGGUAGCGCCUCGUGAAUUCAUCUCCGGGGGUAGAGCACUGUUUCGGCAAGGGGGUCAUCCCGACUUACCAACCCGAUGCAAACUGCGAAUACCGGAGAAUGUUAUCACGGGAGACACACGGCGGGUGCUAACGUCCGUCGUGAAGAGGGAAACAACCCAGACCGCCAGCUAAGGUCCCAAAGUCAUGGUUAAGUGGGAAACGAUGUGGGAAGGCCCAGACAGCCAGGAUGUUGGCUUAGAAGCAGCCAUCAUUUAAAGAAAGCGUAAUAGCUCACUGGUCGAGUCGGCCUGCGCGGAAGAUGUAACGGGGCUAAACCAUGCACCGAAGCUGCGGCAGCGACGCUUAUGCGUUGUUGGGUAGGGGAGCGUUCUGUAAGCCUGCGAAGGUGUGCUGUGAGGCAUGCUGGAGGUAUCAGAAGUGCGAAUGCUGACAUAAGUAACGAUAAAGCGGGUGAAAAGCCCGCUCGCCGGAAGACCAAGGGUUCCUGUCCAACGUUAAUCGGGGCAGGGUGAGUCGACCCCUAAGGCGAGGCCGAAAGGCGUAGUCGAUGGGAAACAGGUUAAUAUUCCUGUACUUGGUGUUACUGCGAAGGGGGACGGAGAAGGCUAUGUUGGCCGGGCGACGGUUGUCCCGGUUUAAGCGUGUAGGCUGGUUUUCCAGGCAAAUCCGGAAAAUCAAGGCUGAGGCGUGAUGACGAGGCACUACGGUGCUGAAGCAACAAAUGCCCUGCUUCCAGGAAAAGCCUCUAAGCAUCAGGUAACAUCAAAUCGUACCCCAAACCGACACAGGUGGUCAGGUAGAGAAUACCAAGGCGCUUGAGAGAACUCGGGUGAAGGAACUAGGCAAAAUGGUGCCGUAACUUCGGGAGAAGGCACGCUGAUAUGUAGGUGAAGUCCCUCGCGGAUGGAGCUGAAAUCAGUCGAAGAUACCAGCUGGCUGCAACUGUUUAUUAAAAACACAGCACUGUGCAAACACGAAAGUGGACGUAUACGGUGUGACGCCUGCCCGGUGCCGGAAGGUUAAUUGAUGGGGUUAGCGCAAGCGAAGCUCUUGAUCGAAGCCCCGGUAAACGGCGGCCGUAACUAUAACGGUCCUAAGGUAGCGAAAUUCCUUGUCGGGUAAGUUCCGACCUGCACGAAUGGCGUAAUGAUGGCCAGGCUGUCUCCACCCGAGACUCAGUGAAAUUGAACUCGCUGUGAAGAUGCAGUGUACCCGCGGCAAGACGGAAAGACCCCGUGAACCUUUACUAUAGCUUGACACUGAACAUUGAGCCUUGAUGUGUAGGAUAGGUGGGAGGCUUGGAAGUGUGGACGCCAGUCUGCAUGGAGCCGACCUUGAAAUACCACCCUUUAAUGUUUGAUGUUCUAACGUUGACCCGUAAUCCGGGUUGCGGACAGUGUCUGGUGGGUAGUUUGACUGGGGCGGUCUCCUCCUAAAGAGUAACGGAGGAGCACGAAGGUUGGCUAAUCCUGGUCGGACAUCAGGAGGUUAGUGCAAUGGCAUAAGCCAGCUUGACUGCGAGCGUGACGGCGCGAGCAGGUGCGAAAGCAGGUCAUAGUGAUCCGGUGGUUCUGAAUGGAAGGGCCAUCGCUCAACGGAUAAAAGGUACUCCGGGGAUAACAGGCUGAUACCGCCCAAGAGUUCAUAUCGACGGCGGUGUUUGGCACCUCGAUGUCGGCUCAUCACAUCCUGGGGCUGAAGUAGGUCCCAAGGGUAUGGCUGUUCGCCAUUUAAAGUGGUACGCGAGCUGGGUUUAGAACGUCGUGAGACAGUUCGGUCCCUAUCUGCCGUGGGCGCUGGAGAACUGAGGGGGCUGCUCCUAGUACGAGAGGACCGGAGUGGACGCAUCACUGGUGUUCGGGUUGUCAUGCCAAUGGCACUGCCCGGUAGCUAAAUGCGGAAGAGAUAAGUGCUGAAAGCAUCUAAGCACGAAACUUGCCCCGAGAUGAGUUCUCCCUGACUCCUUGAGAGUCCUGAAGGAACGUUGAAGACGACGACGUUGAUAGGCCGGGUGUGUAAGCGCAGCGAUGCGUUGAGCUAACCGGUACUAAUGAACCGUGAGGCUUAACCUU